UAGCACUGCACUGUGCCCUCCACUCCUCAGCGUUAUGUUGCCAUCUGCACACUCCAUGCUUGUGCUACAUGCAACUGACUUGUGAGAAAUAUCACCAAAGUCACAUAAUGAUGUUAAAAGUUUUUGGGGUCAUAUUACUCGCUGUCCAGGGCCAUAGGUUGGACAUGUCUGAUUUAAUGGUAGACUUGGCAGUGCUGGGUUUUUGGUUGGGCUUGAUGACCUUAGAACCAACCCAAAUGAUGUCACCAAGAAACAGGGUAUGAAGAUAACUAAUUAGGGCAGAACUGUGUUAUAACCACAGAUUGCUUCUGUAGUGUAACACAAUUUAUUAACUUAGUUUUUAUAGAACCACCAGCCUCCAGAAUUAAGAAGAAAUUGAAAAUAUCAUGAAUUCCUUCAGAGACAAGAACAAAAGUUCCUGGAGAAAAAUAUUGAAGUGGAAAUAACCCCUCUGCUUUUGUAGAUAGCAGCCUGAGAGGAUUCCUUGAAUUACUGUUCUUCUAAACCUGUAAGUAAUGCUUUCCAUAUGGCAUGGUUAGUAUGAAAUCUCAUUUUUAAAGCAAAAUGUCAGAAUGACACGUUCCUGCCAUUCCCCUUUCUUUACUGAUGUAAUGAUAUGGCAGUGUGAAAGGAAAUGAAGUAACACUUUAAAUGAAGAGAGGUAGAGGAUUCUUAAUGACUUGAUGCCCUCAUACUACUAUUUAAGAAAGAAAAACAGGUGGUGAAAGCGUUGAUGUAACCAUCUCCUGAAUGACUGCUUGAAAAGGCAUAAGGUAGUGUUUUUUAAAAAGGAAUUUUCCUUAUCAUAACAUACUUGAAAACAGGUAAUACAGUAAGGCUAUAGACAAACAUGCAUCUUGUGUUUUCAGGGAUAUAUAUAAGCAGAAACCCAGUCAAGGGAUAUCAAUUUACAUCGAUAAAAAAAUAUACCAUAUGAUUUUCAAAUCAGUGUAGCAUGGCUGAGUUUUAGCUCAUCUUUGAAUGGGCAUAACGAAUAGCAUAUCUGAAAGGAAAUUUUGAAGACACGAGCAAUUUGACUAUGAGAAACCCUGCAAGACAAAAUUACUCUUUAACUAUCUCUAAUGAAAACUAAAAGCAGCAGUAAGAAAUGUAAAGCCCAAAUAAGUGCAAUGCUCCUGCAAAUGGUUGCAUCUGGAGUGGACACUAAGUAGAAGUAAAGAGAUGCUGGUUUAAGCUGUAUGGCGUCUUAAGCACUGUACAGUAGAACCCACUGUUAAGAUUAGAAAAGUUGCACUUAAAGAAGACAUAGAAAUUCCUGAAGAAGCACCAGACUGUAAGGAAAUACACAUAUUGAGUGCUGUUGAUUGCAGAAGACAGGGAAUGCCUGAGUGGGAAUUGUGUAUUUGAUAAAAUGCUGUAUACACUGUCAAUCUUAAGCUCGACAGAAAAUCUCUGAGCUGCUUUGCUUGAGACUGCAAUUUAGCAAUUAGCUACCUUUCUUUCCAUCUGAAGCCUCUUUAUCCAGUGAUUUCUUCUCACUCCUUGAGGCCUCUGUGACAAAAGUAUUCAGGACAGAUGGUGACAAUAAUCAUUGGGGACCUGUACCCUUACAGUUUGCGCUGGCUAUGUGCAGGAAGACAAAGGUAUUGGCUGAGAGGAGAGCAGCUGAGGAUAUUAAGAAAGAGAAAAAUAAAGAACUGGGGAUUAAAGCCAUUACUGGCAUAUGGAAGAGGCAGAGGGCAACCGUAGGAAUAUCCAGGGUACAGUUACAGGCAGGUGGGAGAAGGGGAAGAAGGGAUUGGAAACUUAGUGGUAUAAGAUGUGGGAACAGGGUAUCUAAGAUAUCUAACAGAUACAAAAACAAAAUCAGGAAACAAAAUCAGCAUAGGAGCCUAGAAGCAAGAAAAAUCUUUUUCAACAGCUGUAGGGUUCUAUUGCAAAGCUUGGUUUUAUGCCAGCAUCUUGUGUGCUAGUAUUAACUUGGCUGAAAAGUGGAGAUCUGACUUAGCAGUAUAAAAAUGUACUCCCCCACAUACUGGCAUUAAUAAAAAAAUCAUUAAAGUUCAUUUCUGGCUUAUUAGCCACCCUGAAGAGUUGGCUGCUAUUUUGCAGUCUCAAUUCAGAACCAGUGAUAAGCGCUGCACCUCUUUGUUUCCUUUAGACAGUCUGUCCCCGACUGGUUUCCCAAUUUACUAUCAUCUGGCUUUACAAUUUUAACCCUUUAUUUUAUUUUAAACACUGUUAAUACAAAUAACGUGCUUAUUGUUUCAGUCAAAACCUUUUUUUUCCUUAGAAUCUUUUUGCUGAAAUGAUAGAAGGCAAAGCAGUGAAAUGGCACAGUAUAAGCGUUCAAAAUCGUUCUGUGAGUUUUCCUUUUGUACUUCUGCUGUUGUUUCUAUGGAGUAGUCACUGUUGCUAUGUAUUUUUUCUCUUUGUUUCUGCCAGAACAUGACUGGCUGGGUCAACAUGCUCAUAGUAGUAGUAGAGAAUAGCAUAAUUGCUGCUUGAUUAGAAGAGGUAUUUUAGAAACAGCUUUGUGUGUUGGAAAAAUCCCUAUAAUGUUUCAAUUUUUCUAGCAAUGGCAAAAUCAUAAGUAAUUAACCAAACAAGGCACAGUUAAUUCUAAUGAGGUGCACUAGGGAGAAAGGAGGAGGAAGUUGUAAAUCUAAGCAAUAUUCAAUAUUGCAGUGUCCUGAACUUUGCUACUAAACAAUGUGAUCUUAUGUGUGUCAAUCUAAUAUGUCUAGAGCAAUGAAGCAGUGAUCCUUUAACCAUUUUAAUCAAUACUAUGCAGUCAGGCAGGUUAAGUAGUAACCUGCCACAGCUGACUAGACUAAACUUAAAGGAACCUCUAUCAGGCUGUAUUCUCACAGGUGAACUCAAAUGGAUGCUUUCACCUAAAGGACAUGCAGAUGCCCAGCAGCAAGCUACUGGGAAAUGUUUUGAGCCUAGCAAGUUUUAAGAGCUAAUGAGUUGUUUUUCACAGAACUGAGAUGAAAAGAAAUAAAGAACAUACCAUUGGUAGAUGCUAGCAUGUUGCAUUCUCUUCCACGUCUUGUGUUCUAUUCUACCACUGACGUUUGAUUGAGUGGCCUCUUAUUAUGAGAAAUAGCUAACGAAACUUAUAAAUAAGAAAAAGGAAAUAUUGUACUUCUUAUUUUUUGCACAAGUUCUCUUCAAGUGUACUGAAUUUCUGAGUCAAUCAGAUCCCACAGACUUUGCAGCUCAGAGCAUGCUUGAGCACAAAACUGAAUUUUGUCAUCUUGAAUAUCUUGCUGACAGAGAAAGUGCCUUAAGAAAUUCCAGAUGGAGCCAAAACAGAAUGUGGUAUAGAGAUGAAGCAUCUCGGAGAUGAGAGAUGCUGAUGUGCACUGUCAAGUGCUGAUGUGGAUGAGUUCUGACCGCUGUACAGAGACAGGCUCAGCAGAGAUGGAUUCAACCCACAGAAAGUUUAAGGAGUCCAAGAACUUCCUUUCAUAUCAGCAGAAGAGAUUCACACUUGCAACAUUCAUUUUAGUUAAGGCUUCUGCAAAUACAGAUUUGCCUCUGAAUUACUGGAGUCCUCUGUUUAUAAAGAGAGCAUGUAAAAUAAAAAUGUAGCAAUUUAGAAUGGGAAGUGGAAUCAGAAUGCAUAUGCAUGUCAGGGAGGACAGUGUUCUUAGCCCAGACCAUUUUAAUUAUACAACACGGCAAAAACUCAUCUGUUUGCACAAUCUCAAAAUUUUACAAUAGAAAUGCCAGUGUAAGAUCAACUAGAAAUAACAGGGUAUCAGCAAAGGAAUUGAAACAAAUGCAGUGUCAGCUGUGCCAGUGUGCUGUCCUGUGCCAAAUGUAUAAUGAACUCAUGGUGAUACAGUGAUCACACUGGAAGGAGACCAUGGUCAUCUGAGAAUAGUUAUUAAACAGUAAAUAUUUGAUAUCCACUGUUUAUUGUUUCCUCUUUGCUUUAGGCUUAGAAGUUCAUUAAAAUGGUACAGUGUGACCUUUAGAGUUUUGAGAGGCAUAAUUUGAUAUAUAACUUCUACAUUAUAACAGUUUUUCUCAAAUUACGUCUAAACUUGGAAGGAACCAUAACAAGGGUGAGUCUGUUAUCAUGAUGCAUGUGGAAAAAAAAAAUGGAUUUCCAGAGGCGGGUUUAAAAACAUGCUGUUUUAUGCACUCAGUAAGUGCACAUAGGUCCUUUAAACAAAGAGGUGACAUAUUUCUUAGAAAUUUGGAAAAUAUAUGAAGAUGCAACUUAACUUAAAGAACUUACUUAAAAUUCCAAUUGAACAAAAACAAUGAUGGUAUAGUCAAUGCUUGAUAUGAAAUGCUUAUCAAAAUUAAUAUCACUUGAGGCUCCCUUUACCUGGAUUUUAUGGAUUAUUAGGACAUGAAGGCAAAGACUAUACAGUCUUUAGCCACUCCCUCCCCUAGGAAAAAGAAAAUAAAUAUCUUUUUCUCUGUUCAGGAUCAGACUAAGCCAAAUAAAUUUACAGGCUGGAAGAGCUGGGGCUGUUCAGCCUGGAGAAGAGAAGGCUCUAGGGAGACCUUAUAGCAGCCUUCCAGUAUCUCAAAAAGGGCUGUAAGAAAGAAGGGGACAGACUCUUUAGCAGGGUCUCUUGUGGCAGGACAAGGGGAAGUGGUUUCAAACUGAAAGAAGGAGACUUAGACUGGAUAUAAGGAAGAAGUUUUUUACAAUAAGGGUUGUGAGACACUGGCACAGGUUGCCCAGGGGAGGUAGAAGCCCCAUCCUUGGAGACAUUCAAGGUCAGGCUGGAUGCGGCGCUGGGAAGCUUGAUCUAGCUGUAGGUGUCCCUGUUCACUGAAGUGGAGUUUGACUAGAUGACCUUUAAAUAUCUCUUCCAAUUCAAACGAUUCUAUGAAGAUCUUUUGCAAUGUCAUUAGCAACUGAAGCACGGUAAAGGUUUAUUUGGACAAGAACUCUGCUGCAAAGGCAGGGCUAUUACUAAGUGUAACAGCACAAUGGGAAGUAAUACAAUGAAGUCAACUAUUGAAUGGAAUUGGGACUGCAUCCUCUAAUGUGAGCUGAGCUACACUUAUUCCUAACAGCUAGAAACAAAAUGAACAGAAAAUUAGGAUUUCUGUUGAAGUGAUUCUGUAAUUUUAUGGAUGUUUUCUUUAUUAUAACUUGUCACAUUGCAAUAUCAGAUAUUGCAAAUAAAUAUUUGAUGUUGCAAAGAGAUAUGUAUACAGUAAAUCUGCUAUCAAAAUUAUAUAGCCUGUGUAGCAUAAAAUUUUCCUUUAUUUAUAUUUUAAAGACCUAUUAGACGGGUGCCUGAAGAAUGCGAAGCAUAAUGCUGAUCACUUGAUGUGCCCUAAACCCUUUCCCUGAGGAGUACAUUUAGUAUUUUUGACAAAUGUGUUGCGUAUAUAACACACUUCAAUCCCUUUACUCCAGGAAGUGAAAUGUAGGGAGAAAGAUUACAUGUUGAAGUAGAGUGUUACAAUUAUGCACUUUAUAAGAUUAAACUAUUAAUUGAUGGCAUUCCUUCCUAACCCUCUUCAGUUCUUUCAUGGUGUUUGAUAAAUACAGCAGGCGAUUCCCUGGACACGUCUAUUUUUUGGGGAGCUGUUUUGUGAAAAUAUCUUUUGCAAAUGCUUCUCACAAUGCAUAUGGUUUAUGAUGGUGUUUUUUACAUUUGGCAUUCUUUAGGACAGUUAACGUUUCAUUUUCAUGACAUGCAAUAUAUUAUUGUUUAACAAACACUAGAGAUAACAUUCUGAAAAUAACUUAGAAUAUAAAUGAAAAUAUCUGUUUCCCAACUAUCCUUUCCACAGUACUGCUUUGCAGUUAAGGGAGAUCUCCCUUCCUGGCACUGCUUCCCUUCACUAUCCAUCUUGAAGACAGAUAAAAAUAUUUUGUCUGUCAAGCUGUGCCAUGAUAGUUGCAAUGAUAUCCAGAGGAGUUGCAGUUUUAUAGGAUUAAUACUCCCUCCCGAGGCCUUCAGAAUACUACCACAGAGUAUUUCCUUACAGAGUCAGGGUAAGACUUUUUGUGUUUUAUUUCACUAGUGAUUGUGGAGCCAUUUAAAAUCUUCUGGUAACAAAUCUGAUCCGCUCUUGUGUGGUGUCCCAUUGUCCUGCAGUGUGGUAGUACAAACUGAAAUAUUAGGAAGCUUCCUUUUGCACAAUGGAGAACCAGAAUUUUUUACAGUCAAUUUUUCUUGGGACUUUACUCAGUUUUUACAUCAGGAAAAGGAAUUUCCUCCGGUUACCCUCGUACAUCAGAGGUGCACAGAAAUGCUGAUUACAUUGCUGUGAUAUGUAACAACACCACCAACAGGUACUACGCUACUUUCCCUUCUUUUUUUGUAGGAACAGGUGAAAGUGUUAUAGGAUUAUCCUGAACUAUGCUUUACUUCUGGUACAAUCAUAACAACCACACUGUACAUUGCUCCAGGGCUUUUUAUUUCCUCAGUCAGGUGAGAGACUUAUUAGUCAGAUGUUUCUCUAUUGACUGUGCAACUAGGUUUUAAGGACAACAUACAAAAUGAGGUAGGGAGAUGAAGGGAGAAAUAUAAGGUCAACUCCUAUUCCACUCGAAUACAUUUCAUUUAACAAAAACAAGAGAGCCAGUGCUUUUUACUGAAGAAGUGGAGUUUAAAUGUAUGUAAACUUACUAACCAGUUUAAAAGUAGAAGACUUUUCUAUUUUUUUUUCUUUUCCUUUUUUUCUUUUUGUUUUUAUGGAUAAGAUAGUCUAAGUAUUGUCCUUUAGAGUUUUCAUAAAAACCUUGAAAUAUUAGUUACAGGAUUGUUUUCUUCCAGGCUUUGUUUUGUUUUGCUUGAUUCUAAGAGAAAGAGGAUCUGGCCAAGAGCACUCAUGCAGAGCAAUUCAUAUGUCUCUGAGGAAUUUGGAUAAAGUUUUCUGGAAACUGGGAAAAGUGGAGGAAUACCAGGAGAUAAUUAAUUAAUCAUAAUCACCUAAAACAUAAGGAUUAUAAUCCUGGUAAAGGAUGUGUAUCUUUGCUGUCCAUGGACAUCAGAAGACUAUCUGCAGUUCUGUGAAAUCAACAGCAUCUACAGUUGGGAUCCAUCUAUGCUAUAGCAAAUUAAGAAUUUAAGGACUUCCCUGGUUGUGUCCUUCAUGGUUGUGCUCUUGACUGAUCAAGAACUGCUGUAAAGAAAGCUGGAAGAAGCCUCAGCAAGGGUUGCCUUCCUCAGGGUGCUGCUUUUUGGACAGAACUCUUGCUUCUCCUUGCAGCUGCUUUACAGCCCUGCCUGUGCCUGAGGGGCUUAUUGACUUGAUGGGCCCAGACUCCCACAUACAGUAUUUCUGGCUUGGCAAAUGAUUUGCAGCCUAUGGAGUACUUAAAGUAAGACAGAGCUGUUGGUUCAGGAACUUAAUCUCAGGGAGUUCAAAUACCAGGAUUCUCUAAUAAAUACCAUUUUGCACUCCUACUGAGAAACCUGAAAUAAAUUGUGAGAUACUGAAUUCAGAAAUAAAGCCCCAAACUUGCAAGCUUUCAUGUCCCUAGCUGAUCUUUCUACUAUGGCAACUUGAAUUUGGAAUUUUCUGACGGACUGAGGUAUGAUUCCCUCGCAUGAGAAUGCAUCCAUGUGAGAGAUGACACAAGAGCUUCAGCUGCACUAUGUUUUAUAAAUAUGAAAACAGUCAAGUAUUAGGUAAUUUGAAUUUGUACUGCCUGCUGAGGUAAGGGAGCAGAAGUUGGAAGCACAGGAAUUUACUUUAGAUGUUUGAAUUGGAAUAUAUUAAUAUAUUGAGGAGUAUCUGUGAAGCUGUUUGCCUUAAGUUGAUAAGGAUUUAUGGAUAGAAAGAAGUUUAUGAAAUGACCAAAGUGUCUUCAGAUUUUAAUCUACCAUUAUAAAAUAUAAUGCAUUACUUAGAAACUAAGGACUCAAAAUGCUAAGCUAGUAAUUAUAAAAAUAUACUAAAUGAUUCUAUGGUGUGUAUUUUGAGGCAACAGAUAAUUAUUUACUCUAACAUAGAGAGAAUAAAGAUUGCUAUUGAUCAUACUUUGUUCUAAAAUUACUUUUUUUCCACAUCAAAAUGCCAGCUACAUUGUGGUUUGAGUUGUAAGCUAGACUGCAUAUUUGAGUAUGAAUACGUUUGUAUUAUAGAGUUAGGACAGCUGUUUUCUAAGAUUUUCCAUAAAGAAGAACAGAUAAGUAACUGUUCCAUUGUUUGAACACCCUCAUAGUAAAAAAGUUUUUUCUUAUAUUCAGAUGGGAAUUUCAUGUACUUCCGUUUGUGCCCAUUGCCUUUUGUCCUGUCACAGCACACCACUGAAAACAGACUGGCUCCAGCUCCCUAACAUCCUCUCUUCAGAUAUUUAUAAACAUUGAUAAGAUCUUGCUGAGCCUUCGUUCUUCUGGGCUAAACGGUCCCAGCUCAUUCAGCCUCUCCUUGUGCUUAUCUGGAUUCACAGGAUAAAAGUGCAAUAAAAUACAUUCUGGUGAGAAGGAAUAAUGUCAUGUCCUGGUCCAUCUAACCAUUAUACUCUAAAAAAAAAUGUAGGUACAUGAAUUUUGCUAGCUUGAGGAAGAACAGUUUUUGUAAAGGUCUAGUAGUGGAAUAGAAGAUUAAAUAGUCCUUAUGUCAAUCAUACUUGCAAUGAAUUUGAAAGUUUAAGUAAUCCCAGCUAUAAAAAUUUUAUAAAACCAUUUUUACCAAAUAAAUAUGCAAGUCCUAUGUACAGCCAUGAGGUGUGAAAAAGAUUAGUGUGACACAAAAUUUUGUGAAAUGUGUGAAACAAAAUUCAUAGGCCUAUGCAGGUACAACUGGUAGUUGUUCUAAAGAAAUAUCUAUUGAAUGAUAGUAAUUAUUUUGAAUUCAGUUAAGUGUAGGUCAGUUGAGAAGUGAAUCUAAGUGGUAUUACUGUAGGAAAAUUGUCAAAUCUAAUUGAAUGAGAGGUGAUACAAAAGACUUCUUAAGUAUCCUUGUCUCCUGCAAACUGUGGGAGAGCAAGGCAGAAUAAUACUGUGGAAGGAAUGGACACUGGCACUGUGAUAUCUACGAAAUAAUGUUCUUACCUGUUCCAUGAAACACAGGUUAAGUCCCUUUUUUCCACUGUCUCUUACAGUGGAAUAUACCUGCUGUAUUGAAAAGAGUAGAAGAAAUAUAUUUUUCUUGUUAGGUUUUCCAUCUGAUUUCAGAAUUUUUUGGUGAGAGGUCUGAGAGGAGAGAGGAAGAUUGAGAUGUGGAUGUUACUUCCAUCAACUGGGGAAAAAAUAUCCAAAAGCAUGUGUUCAGUUUGAGAAUCUGGUUGAGAGUAGUUCUUUUCCAUUGGAAAAUAUGAAAUGAAAGUACUUACUUGCGCAGUGUCUUUUUAUUGCUUGAGUAGAAAAUUUAAUAACCUAAUGUUGAUGACUUAUUUAAAUGGCAGCAAUUAUAUUAAAGAUGUGUGCUAGCAUCAGUAAGACAUUAUUAUUGUCUAAAUUUCUAAACACUGUUACCAUCUCAGCUGAAUUCUUAAUGGUAAUUUCUGUUAUCUUUCUGAUAACUUAUCUUUCUGUAUUAAUUAUCUUUCUGUAACUGGGACUUUGCUAAAGGUAAAAGAAAUGUAAACCUAACUGUCUAAAUAGCAAUUGUUAGACUAAUAACUGAUAUAGAAUGUUUUGCACGUGACUCACAUUACUUUAAUCAAAUGUUAGAAUACACACAAUUUGGCAGGCAAUUUUCUCCAGAGUAAGUUGCAGCAUACAGCUCUUUACUAGAGACUGUAUUCUCCUAAAACCAGUGAAACUAUUUCCUCUUUGCUCUUUCACUUAUGUUUUAGUCAUUUGCAUGUCUUUGAAAGAGCACAGAUAUUUGAAAUGCCUCUUCCAGUUCUGGAUGAUUUCCUAUCUUAAUCCUUUUCAUCAUAACUAACUCAGAUUUUGUUUGUUACUCUUCAUCUCUCCACUCCUAUGUUAAUUUUCUUUCUUAUGUCUUGCUCAGUGUGGUCUGUUGUAACAUCACUGCAACAGUAUUGCCAAAGGCUUGCUUAAUGAAACUAUAUUUUUAAAUUAUAAUUAAAGAUGAUUAGAAAAAUGUUAUUUCUGGAUUUUGUAAAGGAAUUAUCAAAUUUAG
ensembl:lncRNA